AUUGAACGCUGGCGGCAGGCCUAACACAUGCAAGUCGAACGAGUGGCGGACGGGUGAGUAAUGUCUGGGAAACUGCCUGAUGGAGGGGGAUAACUACUGGAAACGGUAGCUAAUACCGCAUACCAUCAGAUGUGCCCAGUUGGGAUUGGCUGGUGGGUGGGGUAACGGCGCACCUAGGCGACGAUCCCUAGCUGGUCUGAGAGGAUGACCAGCCACACUGGAAAGUGGACACGGUCCAGACUCCUACGGGAGGCAGCAGUGGGGAAUAUUGCACAAUGGGCGCAAGCCUGAUGCAUCCAUGCCGCGUGUAUGAAGAAGGCCUUCGGGUUGUAAAGUACUUUCAGCGGGGAGGCGUUACCCGCAGAAGAAGCACCGGCUAACUUCGUGCCAGCAGCCGCGGUAAUAC
rnacentral:rRNA from 1 species